GUGGUUUGGUCCUCCCAGGGCGCCGUAGGCGGUGCAUCCCGUUCGCGCCUGGGGCUGUGGUCCUCCCGCGCCUGAGGCGGCGGCGGCAGGAGCUGAGGGGAGUUGUAGGGAACUGAGGGGAGCUGCUGUGUCCCCCGCCUCCUCCUCCCCAUUUCCGCGCUCCCGGGACCAUGUCCGCGCUGGCUGGUGAAGAUGUCUGGAGGUGUCCAGGCUGUGGGGACCACAUUGCUCCAAGCCAGAUAUGGUACAGGACUGUCAACGAAACCUGGCACGGCUCUUGCUUCCGCUAGUCACCGGCCCCUGCUCAAGAAUGCCAGUGAAUGUGUAGCCUCCGCAGAGAGGUCGUUUUCUCGGAGUCCAGAGGGGCCGCCUGAGCUUCUGAGAACUAGGGAGGAGCCAUCCCAGCCAUGAGCCCCUGUGGGAAUCUGCUGGGGGCCAAGUGGCCUGGAGUCCUCAGGCUCCCCCAGCUGCUCCGGAGGGAGAGGUGAGCUCAGGGCAGCCUGCCUGCAGCCAGAGGUGCCGGGAGCCCCGGGCCUGUCAUGGUGGCCAUCUACAGCCGGCCUGAGGCAGUCACAGACGGAUUUGCAGCUGAGCCUGUCUAUCUGGUGUGGGAAGAAGAUGGGGAGUUACUUGUCAGUCCCGGCUUACUUCACCUCCAGAGACCUAUUUCGGUGUUCAGAAUGCCAGGAUUCCCUCACCAACUGGUACUAUGAGAAGGAUGGGAAGCUCUACUGCCCCAAGGACUACUGGGGGAAGUUUGGGGAGUUCUGUCAUGGGUGCUCCCUGCUGAUGACAGGGCCUUUUAUGGUGGCUGGGGAGUUCAAGUACCACCCAGAGUGCUUUGCCUGUAUGAGCUGCAAGGUGAUCAUUGAGGAUGGGGAUGCAUAUGCACUGGUGCAGCAUGCCACCCUCUACUGUGGGAAGUGCCACAAUGAGGUAGUGCUGGCACCCAUGUUUGAGAGACUCUCCACAGAGUCUGUUCAGGAGCAGCUGCCCUACUCUGUCACGCUCAUCUCCAUGCCGGCCACCACUGAAGGCAGGCGGGGCUUCUCCGUGUCCGUGGAGAGUGCCUGCUCCAACUACGCCACCACUGUGCAAGUGAAAGAGGUCAACCGGAUGCACAUCAGUCCCAACAAUCGCAAUGCCAUCCACCCUGGGGACCGCAUCCUGGAGAUCAAUGGGACCCCCGUCCGCACACUUCGAGUGGAGGAGGUGGAGGAUGCAAUUAGCCAGACGAGCCAGACACUUCAGCUGUUGAUUGAACAUGACCCCGUCUCCCAACGCCUGGACCAGCUGCGGCUGGAGGCCCGGCUCGCUCCUCACAUGCAGAAUGCCGGACACCCCCACGCCCUCAGCACCCUGGACACCAAGGAGAAUCUGGAGGGGACACUGAGGAGACGUUCCCUGAGGCGCAGUAACAGUAUCUCCAAGUCCCCUGGCCCCAGCUCCCCAAAGGAGCCCCUGCUGUUCAGCCGUGACAUCAGCCGCUCAGAAUCCCUUCGUUGUUCCAGCAGCUAUUCACAGCAGAUCUUCCGGCCCUGUGACCUAAUCCAUGGGGAGGUCCUGGGGAAGGGCUUCUUUGGGCAGGCUAUCAAGGUGACACACAAAGCUACGGGCAAAGUGAUGGUCAUGAAAGAGUUAAUUCGAUGUGAUGAGGAGACCCAGAAAACUUUUCUGACUGAGGUGAAAGUGAUGCGCAGCCUGGACCACCCCAAUGUGCUCAAGUUCAUUGGUGUGCUGUACAAGGAUAAGAAGCUGAACCUGCUGACAGAGUACAUUGAGGGGGGCACACUGAAGGACUUUCUGCGCAGUAUGGAUCCGUUCCCCUGGCAGCAGAAGGUCAGGUUUGCCAAAGGAAUCGCCUCCGGAAUGGCCUAUUUGCACUCUAUGUGCAUCAUCCACCGGGAUCUGAACUCGCACAACUGCCUCAUCAAGUUGGACAAGACUGUGGUGGUGGCAGACUUUGGGCUGUCACGGCUCAUAGUGGAAGAGAGGAAAAGGCCCCCCACAGAGAAGGCCACCACCAAGAAACGCACCUUGCGCAAGAACGACCGCAAGAAGCGCUACACGGUGGUGGGAAACCCCUACUGGAUGGCCCCUGAGAUGCUGAACGGAAAGAGCUAUGAUGAGACGGUGGAUAUCUUCUCCUUUGGGAUCGUUCUCUGUGAGAUCAUUGGGCAGGUGUAUGCAGAUCCUGACUGCCUUCCCCGAACACUGGACUUUGGCCUCAACGUGAAGCUUUUCUGGGAGAAGUUUGUUCCCACAGAUUGUCCCCCGGCCUUCUUCCCGCUGGCCGCCAUCUGCUGCAGACUGGAGCCGGAGAGCAGAGCACCCCCCCGGGGCCGCAGGAGAGGGCCCGGGCUGCGCGGAUGAUGAGGGCCCAGUGAGGCGCCAAGGGAAGGUCACCAUCAAGUAUGACCCCAAGGAGCUACAAGCACCUCAACCUAGAGGAGUGGAUCCUGGAGCAGCUCACGCGCCUCUAGGACUGCCAGGAAGAGGAGAUCUCAGAACUAGAGAUUGACGUGGAUGAGCUCCUGGACAUGGAGAGUGACGAUGCCCGGGCUUCCAGGGUCAAGGAGCUGCUGGUUGACUGUUACAAACCCACAGAGGCCUUCAUCUCUGGCCUGCUGGACAAGAUCCGGGCCAUGCAGAAGCUGAGCACACCCCAGAAGAAGUGAGGGUCCCCGACCCAGGGGAACGGUGGCUCCCAUAGGACAACCGCUGCCCCCCGACCUCGUAGCAACAGCAAUACCGGGGGACCCUGCGGCCAGGCCUGGUUCCAUGAGCAGGGCUCCUCGUGCCCCUAGCCCAGGGGUCUCUUCCCCUGCCCCCUCAGUUUUCCACUUUUGGAUUUUUUUAUUGUUAUUAAACUGAUGGGACUUUGUGUUUUUAUAUUGACUCUGCGGCACGGGCCCUUUAAUAAAGCGAGACCAGCAUUCUCGAAACUGGAGGACUCCUUUGAGGCCCUCUCCCUAUACCUGGGGGAGCUGGGCAUCCCGCUGCCUGCAGAGCUGGAGGAGUUGGACCACACUGUGAGCAUGCAGUACGGCCUGACGCGGGACUCACCUCCCUAGCCCUGGCCCAGCCCCCUGCAGGGGGGUGUUCUACAGCCAGCAUUGCCCCUCUGUGCCCCAUUCCUGCUGUGAGCAGGGCCGUCCGGGCUUCCUGUGGAUUGGCGGAAUGUUUAGAAGCAGAACAAGCCAUUCCUACUACCUCCCCAGGAGGCAAGUGGGCGCAGCACCAGGGAAAUGUAUCUCCACAGGUUCUGGGGCCUAGUUGCUGUCUGUAAAUCCAAUACUUGCCUGAAAGCUGUGAAGAAGAAAAAAACCCCUGGCCUUUGGGCCAGGAGGAAUCUGUUACUCGAAUCCACCCAGGAACUCCCUGGCAGUGGAUUGUGGGAGGCUCUUGCUUACACUAAUCAGCGUGACCUGGACCUGCUGGGCAGGAUCCCAGGGUGAACCUGCCUGUGAACUCUGAAGUCACUAGUCCAGCUGGGUGCAGGAGGACUUCAAGUGUGUGGACGAAAGAAAGACUGAUGGCUCAAAGGGUGUGAAAAAGUCAGUGAUGCUCCCCCUUUCUACUCCAGAUCCUGUCCUUCCUGGAGCAAGGUUGAGGGAGUAGGUUUUGAAGAGUCCCUUAAUAUGUGGUGGAACAGGCCAGGAGUUAGAGAAAGGGCUGGCUUCUGUUUACCUGCUCACUGGCUCUAGCCAGCCCAGGGACCACAUCAAUGUGAGAGGAAGCCUCCACCUCAUGUUUUCAAACUUAAUACUGGAGACUGGCUGAGAACUUAAGGACAACAUCCUUUCUGUCUGAAACAGUCACAAGCACAGGAAGAGGCUGGGGGACUAGAAAGAGGCCCUGCCCUCUAGAAAGCUCAGAUCUUGGCUUCUGUUACUCAUACUCGGGUGGGCUCCUUAGUCAGAUGCCUAAAACAUUUUGCCUAAAGCUCGAUGGGUUCUGGAGGACAGUGUGGCUUGUCACAGGCCUAGAGUCUGAGGGAGGGGAGUGGGAGUCUCAGCAAUCUCUUGGUCUUGGCUUCAUGGCAACCAUUGCUCACCCUUCAACAUGCCUGGUUUAGGCAGCAGCUUGGGCUGGGAAGAGGUGGUGGCAGAGUCUCAAAGCUGAGAUGCUGAGAGAGAUAGCUCCCUGAGCUGGGCCAUCUGACUUCUACCUCCCAUGUUUGCUCUCCCAACUCAUUAGCUCCUGGGCAGCAUCCUCCUGAGCCACAUGUGCAGGUACUGGAAAACCUCCAUCUUGGCUCCCAGAGCUCUAGGAACUCUUCAUCACAACUAGAUUUGCCUCUUCUAAGUGGCUAUGAGCUUGCACCAUAUUUAAUAAAUUGGGAAUGGGUUUGGGGUAUUAAUGCAAUGUGUGGUGGUUGUAUUGGAGCAGGGGGAAUUGAUAAAGGAGAGUGGUUGCUGUUAAUAUUAUCUUGUUUUAUCUAUUGGGUGGUAUGUGAAAUAUUGUACAUAGACCUGGUGAGUUGUGGGACCAGAUGUCAUCUCUGGUCAGAGUUUACUUGCUAUAUAGACUGUACUUAUGUGUGAAGUUUGCAAGCUUGCUUUAGGGCUGAGCCCUGGACUCCCAGCAGCAGCACAGUUCAGCAUUGUGUGGGCUGGUUGUUUCCUGGCUGUCCCCAGCAAGUGUAGGAGUGGUGGGCCUGAACUGGGCCAUUGAUCAGACUAAAUAAAUUAAGCAGUUAACAUAACUGGCAA